rnacentral:rRNA from 1 species
UACAGAGGUCCCCAAGCGUUGUUCGGAUUCACUGGGCGUAAAGGGUGCGUAGGUGGUCAGGUAAGUCUGAUGUGAAAGCUCUGGGCUCAACCCAGAAAUGGCAUUGGAUACUAUCUGGCUAGAGGAAUGGAGGGGGGGACUGGAAUACUUGGUGUAGCAGUGAAAUGCGUAGAUAUCAAGUGGAACACCAGUGGCGAAGGCGAGUCCCUGGACAUUUCCUGACACUGAGGCACGAAAGCUAGGGGAGCAAACAGG